GACGAACGCUGGCGGCGUGCUUAACACAUGCAAGUCGAACGGAAAGGCCCUGCUUUUGUGGGGUGCUCGAGUGGCGAACGGGUGAGUAGCACGUGAGUAACCUGCCCUUGACUUUGGGAUAACUUCAGAAAACUGGGGCUAAUACCGGAUAGGAGCUCCUGCUGCAUGGUGGGGGUUGGAAAGUUUCGGCGGUUGGGGAUGGACUCGCGGCUUAUCAGCUUGUUGGUGGGGUAGUGGCUUACCAAGGCUUUGACGGGUAGCCGGCCUGAGAGGGUGACCGGCCACAUUGGGACUGAGAUACGGCCCAGACUCCUACGGGAGGCAGCAGUGGGGAAUAUUGCGCAAUGGGCGGAAGCCUGAUGCAGCAACGCCGCGUGCGGGAUGACGGCCUUCGGGUUGUAAACCGCUUUCGCCUGUGACGAAGCGUGAGUGACGGUAAUGGGUAAAGAAGCACCGGCUAACUACGUGCCAGCAGCCGCGGUGAUACGUAGGGUACGAGCGUUGUCCGGAUUUAUUGGGCGUAAAGGGCUCGUAGGUGGUUGAUCGCGUCGGAAGUGUAAUCUUGGGGCUUAACCCUGAGCGUGCUUUCGAUACGGGUUGACUUGAGGAAGGUAGGGGAGAAUGGAAUUCCUGGUGGAGCGGUGGAAUGCGCAGAUAUCAGGAGGAACACCAGUGGCGAAGGCGGUUCUCUGGGCCUUUCCUGACGCUGAGGAGCGAAAGCGUGGGGAGCGAACAGGCUUAGAUACCCUGGUAGUCCACGCUGUAAACGGUGGGUACUAGGUGUGGGGUCCAUUCCACGGGUUCCGUGCCGUAGCUAACGCUUUAAGUACCCCGCCUGGGGAGUACGGCCGCAAGGCUAAAACUCAAAGGAAUUGACGGGGCCCCGCACAAGCGGCGGAGCAUGCGGAUUAAUUCGAUGCAACGCGUAGAACCUUACCUGGGUUUGACAUGGAUCGGGAGUGCUCAGAGAUGGGUGUGCCUCUUUUGGGGUCGGUUCACAGGUGGUGCAUGGCUGUCGUCAGCUCGUGUCGUGAGAUGUUGGGUUAAGUCCCGCAACGAGCGCAACCCUUGUUCACUGUUGCCAGCACGUUAUGGUGGGGACUCAGUGGAGACCGCCGGGGUCAACUUGGAGGAAGGUGGGGAUGUCGUCAAGUCAUCAUGCCCCUUAUGUCCAGGGCUUCACGCAUGCUACAAUGGUUGGUACAGAGAGUGGCGAGCCUGUGAGGGUGAGCGAAUCUCGGAAAGCCGGUCUCAGUUCGGAUUGGGGUCUGCAACUCGACCUCAUGAAGUCGGAGUCGCUAGUAAUCGCAGAUCAGCAACGCUGCGGUGAAUACGUUCCCGGG
rnacentral:rRNA from 1 species